AUGCAUGUAUAAGUAUAAACGCUUUAAGCGUGAAACCGCGAACGGCUCAUUACAACAGCUAUAAUUUACUUGAUCUUGACAAACUUACAUGGAUAACUGAGGUAAUUCUUGAGCUAAUACACGCACCAAAGCUUUGACCGUAAGGGAAGAGCGCAUUUAUUAGAACAAAACCAAACGGCUUCGGCUGUUCCCAGUUGAAUCAGAAUAACUCAGCUGAUCGUACGGUCUUGCACCGACGACGUGUCUUUCAAGUAUCUGCUUUAUCAACUUUCGAUGGUAGGGUAUCUGCCUACCAUGGUGGUGACGGAUAACGGAGGAUCAGGGUUCGACUCCGGAGAAGGGGCCUGAGAAAUGGCCACUACGUCUAAGGAUGGCAGCAGGCGCGCAAAUUACCCACUCUCAGAAUUUGGAGGAGGUAGUGACGAGAAAUAACGAGGUUGAUCUCUUCUGAGGCCAACCAUCGGAAUGGGUACAAUUUAAACCCUUUAACGAGUAUCUAUGAGAGGGCAAGUCUGGUGCCAGCAGCCGCGGUAAUUCCAGCUCUCAAAAUGCAUAGAAUUAUUGCUGCGGUUAAAAAGCUCGUAGUUGGAUCUGCAGCCGGAGCUCCGGUCCAUCUUCGGAUGUGUACUGGAUGUCUUCGGCUUUCUGACAGUGUUCGGCUCUGUGCCUCUAACUAGGUGUGGAUGUCCGAUACUGUAAGUUUACUUUGAAUAAAUCAGAGUGCUCUAAACAGGCGUUUUGCUUGAAUGAUUGUGCAUGGAAUAAUAGAAGAGGAUUUCGGUUCUAUUUUAUUGGUUUUAUAGACUGAGAUAAUGGUUAACAGAGACAAACGGGGGCAUUUGUAUGGCUACG
rnacentral:rRNA from 1 species